CGUAACAAGGUCUCCGUUGGUGAACCAGCGGAGGGAUCAUUACCGAGUUUACAACUCCCAAACCCCUGUGAACAUACCACUUGUUGCCUCGGCGGAUCAGCCCGCUCCCGGUAAAACGGGACGGCCCGCCAGAGGACCCCUAAAACUCUGUUUCUAUAUGUAACUUCUGAGUAAAACCAUAAAUAAAUCAAAACUUUCAACAACGGAUCUCUUGGUUCUGGCAUCGAUGAAGAACGCAGCAAAAUGCGAUAAGUAAUGUGAAUUGCAGAAUUCAGUGAAUCAUCGAAUCUUUGAACGCACAUUGCGCCCGCCAGUAUUCUGGCGGGCAUGCCUGUUCGAGCGUCAUUUCAACCCUCAAGCACAGCUUGGUGUUGGGACUCGCGUUAAUUCGCGUUCCUCAAAUUGAUUGGCGGUCACGUCGAGCUUCCAUAGCGUAGUAGUAAAACCCUCGUUACUGGUAAUCGUCGCGGCCACGCCGUUAAACCCCAACUUCUGAAUGUUGACCUCGGAUCAGGUAGGAAUACCCGCUGAACUUAAGCAUAUCAA
rnacentral:rRNA from 1 species